GCGUCCUGGUCGGAUGCGG
rnacentral:snRNA from 1 species